rnacentral:tRNA from 1 species
AGGCGAGUAGCUCUAACGGUAGAGCGGCGGAUUCCAAAUCCGUAGGUUGUGGGUUCGAAUCCCACCUCGCCUGCCA